UAGGGAAUCUUCCACAAUGGACGCAAGUCUGAUGGAGCAACGCCGCGUGAGUGAAGAAGGUUUUCGGAUCGUAAAGCUCUGUUGUUGGUGAAGAAGGAUAGAGGCAGUAACUGGUCUUUAUUUGACGGUAAUCAACCAGAAAGUCACGGCUAACUACGUGCCAGCAGCCGCGGUAAUACGUAGGUGGCAAGCGUUGUCCGGAUUUAUUGGGCGUAAAGCGAGCGCAGGCGGAAUGAUAAGUCUGAUGUGAAAGCCCACGGCUCAACCGUGGAACGGCAUCGGAAACUGUCCUUCUUGAGUGCAGAAGAGGAGAGUGGAAUUCCAGGGGUAGCGGUGGAAUGCGUAGAUAUAUGGAAGAACACCAGUGGCGAAGGCGGCUCUCUGGUCUGCAACUGACGCUGAGGCUCGAAAGCAUGGGUAGCGAACAGG
rnacentral:rRNA from 1 species